UACGGGGGGGGCAAGCGUUGUUCGGAAUUACUGGGCGUAAAGGGCUCGUAGGCGGCCAACUAAGUCGGAUGUGAAAUCCCCAGGCUCAACUUGGGAACUGCAUCCGAUACUGGAUGGCUUGAAUUCGGGAGAGGGAUGCAGAAUUCCAGGUGUAGCGGUGAAAUGCGUAGAUAUCUGGAGGAAUACCGGUGGCGAAGGCGGCAUCCUGGACCGAUACUGACGCUGAGGCGCGAAAGCGUGGGGAGCAAACAGG
rnacentral:rRNA from 1 species